rnacentral:rRNA from 1 species
AACAGGAUUAGAUACCCUGGUAGUCCAUGCCGUAAACGUUGGGCACUAGGUGUGGGGAACAUUCCACGUUUUCCGCGCCGCAGCUAACGCAUUAAGUGCCCCGCCUGGGGAGUACGGCCGCAAGGCUAAAACUCAAAGGAAUUGACGGGGGCCCGCACAAGCGGCGGAGCAUGCGGAUUAAUUCGAUGCAACGCGAAGAACCUUACCAAGGCUUGACAUGUUCUCGAUCGCCGUAGAGAUACGGUUUCCCCUUUGGGGCGGGUUCACAGGUGGUGCAUGGUUGUCGUCAGCUCGUGUCGUGAGAUGUUGGGUUAAGUCCCGCAACGAGCGCAACCCUCGUUCCAUGUUGCCAGCACUUCGGGUGGGGACUCAUGGGAAACUGCCGGGGUCAACUCGGAGGAAGGUGGGGACGACGUCAAAUCAUCAUGCCCCUUAUGUCUUGGGCUUCACGCAUGCUACAAUGGCCGGUACAAUGGGUUGCGAUACUGUGAGGUGGAGCUAAUCCCAAAAAGCCGGUCUCAGUUCGGAUUGGGGUCUGCAACUCGACCCCAUGAAGUCGGAGUCGCUAGUAAUCGCAGAUCAGCAACGCUGCGGUGAAUACGUUCCCGGGCCUUGUACACACCGCCCGUCAAGUCACGAAAGUCGGUAACACCCGAAGCCGGUGGCCUAACCCUUGUGGAGGGAGCCGUCGAAGGUGGGACCAGCGAUUGGGACUAAGUCGUAACAAGGUAACC